GUUUGGCCUGGAAAAAAGAAGAAAAAAAAAAAAGAAAAUAAAAGAGGCCCAAGCUGCCUCUGCUCUUUCUUUUGUCAUGCAAAUCCUGAGCCCACCCAGAGGAGCUGCUCUGAAUUUCCACCGGGCAAAAGGAGGUAUUCACCUCCCCCUGCAUGGAACCCAAAUGGGUUCAAAACGCAGUGCCAGGGUGGCCACAACCCCACAGUGCCCACAGCCACACUGUGCCCCCUUCACCCAUCCCCGAGGGUCUUGGAGAGUGUGGGGGACCCUAUCUGCUCUGGAGGGGACCACGGGCUCCACAGCAGCUCGGGCAAGGGGGGGCCAUGGGGAUGGCAGGACAAGCUCAGCUGGGUGGGCUGUGGAAGAAAGGGUCUGGGAGGGAUGCCAGAGCAUCUGCAGUGAGGAGGGGGAUGCUGCUGCCCAGAGAUGAGCCCCUCCUUGGAAAGGCGGCGCCUGCGCAGGGUGACAUCAGCCCCAGAGAACCUGAGAUGCUGAGCCUGGCUCUGGGAAGGCAGCUGCUGCCACAGCUUCUUCCAUCUCCGCAUCCCAGCAGGACAAGGAGGGGAGAGGGAGCUGGCUGCCCAGCCCUUCAGCUGGACCCCAGCCCAGCUCUGUCCCCCCUCCGGCCAGCUCACAUCCCCCAAGGAUGCUCCCGGUGGGAGGCUGACAGAGAUGCUCUAGGAGAUGCCGAUGGUGCUCACCCUUCUCGUCUCCCUCUACAAACUGUGCCGGUUCUUCGCCAUGGCGGGUGCGGAGAGGUUGGUUGUACCCGAAUGCGUGAGCCAAGCGGCCAACUGGGCGAGCGGGGGCAGCUCCAGGGACCACCGAGAGGUUUCCCCAGGGGUCAACACUGAUGUGCGGGCAGCCCUGGACCGGAUCCUGCCCACGGUGCAGCGCGCCAUCGCCCGCGCCAAGCAGGCGGCCAACCCUGAGGAGCUGAGCAAGGCCAUCGCCCAGGUCUUCCAGCUGGUGGAGGAAGCCUGGGGGAUGCCCACGCUGGGCAGGGAUGUGGCCAAAGUGCUGUGCGACGUGAUCCGUCUGGAGGGGGGCCUGGACCUGCUGCUGAACCUGCUGUACACGGCGGACCUGGAGACCAAGUGCCAGGCAGGAAAACUCCUGGAGCAGAUCCUGGUGGCAGAAAAUAGGGAUCGGAUCGCUCGGAUAGGUCUGGGAGUGAUCCUGAACUUAGCCAAGGAGCGAGAUGUUCCUCAGCUGGCACAGAGUGUCUCCGGUAUCCUGGAGCACAUGUUCAAACACUCCGAGGAGACCUGUUUCCAGCUCAUCUCUGAUGGAGGUUUGGAUGCUAUCCUCUACUGGUGCCGCUGGACAGACCCCGUCGUGCUGCGGCACUGCGCCAUGGCCUUGGCCAACUGUGCCAUGUACGGAGGGCAGGCUAACCAGCGCCUGAUGAUUGAGAAGAGGACAGCAGAGUGGCUUUUCCCACUGGUGUUCUCAAGGGACGAUGAUCUAAUCCGCCUGCACGCCUGCCUGGCCAUCACGGUGCUGGCCACCAACAAAGAGAUCGAGAAGGAGGUGGAGCGCUCGGGGACGCUGGCACUGGUGGAGCCGUUCAUUGCCUCGCUGGAUCCGGAGCAGUUUGCAUGCGAGAUGCUGGGAAGCAGUGACAACAGCCAAGGGAGGACAGCGGAUGACCUGCAGCAGUUGGUCCCCUUGCUAGACAGCUCGCGGCUGGAAGCCCAGUGCAUCGCUGCCUUCUACCUCUGCACGGAGGCUGCCAUCAAAACCAGGCAGAAGAAAACAAAGAUUUUCAGUGAGAUUGGGGCCACGGAGAGCCUGAAGAGGGUAGUGUGCUACUCCACCAGCAGCACCACCUCCUCCCUGGCCAAAAAGGUGCUGCGCAUGAUAGGGGAAGAGGUUCCUCGACGCAUCCUGCCCACAGUUCCCAACUGGAAGCCCUGCGAGGUGCAGACGUGGCUGCAGCAGAUUGGAUUCAACAAAUACUGCCAGAGAUUCCUGGUAGGGCUGUGUGAUGGGGGAGGGACACCUGGAUGGGCCCUCUUGGCCCAUCUGGCUGCAGGGGUGCAAACAUCCCACCCAACAGAUUUCCUGGAGCUUCCCAGCCUGCAUUUCUCUUGGCAGGACCACCAGGUGGAUGGAGACAUUCUCCUGAGACUGACAGAGGAGGAGCUGCAGGAGGACUUGGGGAUGGACUCCAGCAUCACUCGGAAGAGGUUUUUCCGGGAGCUAACGGAGCUGAAGACCUUUGCCAACUAUUCCACCUGCGACCGCAGCAACCUGGCCGACUGGCUGGGCAGCAUCGACCCCAAGUUCCGUCAGUACACGUACAACCUGCUGACCUGUGGCAUCAACCGCAACUUCUUGCACCGGGUGACGGAGCAGCAGCUGCAGGACGACUGCCACAUCAACACAGGCUUCCACCGCGUCCGCAUCCUCACUGCUGCAAGGGAAAUGCUGCACUCCCCUAUAACACAGCAAACUGCAUCUGAUGGGACCGAUGUAUUUAUCAGCUACCGGAGGAGCACUGGCUCGCAGCUGGCUAGCCUGCUCAAGGUCCACCUGCAGCUUCAUGGCUUCAGCGUGUUCAUCGAUGUGGAGAAGCUGGAGGCAGGGAAGUUUGAGGACAAGCUGGCCCAGAGCGUCAUGAGUGCCCGCAAUUUUGUGCUGGUCCUCUCGCCAAACGCAUUGGAUAAAUGCAUGGGAGACCCCGAGUGCAAGGACUGGGUGCACAAGGAGAUUGUGACAGCCUUGAACUGUGGAAAGAACAUUGUACCUGUUACAGACCAUUUUGAGUGGCCAGACCCAGAAACACUUCCCACGGACAUGAGGGCUGUCCUGAAAUUUAAUGGUAUCAAGUACCUGAUGAGCCAAGCCAAGGUGGACUCCAGGAUGGACAAGAGUUGUGUUCCACAUCCUCCCUUGGGGUGGCAGGACACGCUUCCCGCAACGCAGGCGACGCGAGAGGGACCAACACCGUCCAGCCCCUCAAAUGGCUGCAGGUUCCCUCAGGAGCCCGGCUGAAGAGGAGGGAUCUUCUGAGGACCACAAGCUGGGACAUUGGUGAGGGGUAUGUCGCAAGAGGACACACAGGAGAAGAGAAGAGUGGUUGAGAGGGAACGGUCCAUGAGCGUCGCAUGGCCUCUGCUGGGUGCCACAGGAAUAUCAUGGUGGCCAGAAGCCGAGAGCAGGAAAGGGCAAAUAAAAUCUAAGCCCUAACGAAAUCCCUGUGUUUGGGAAAGAUAACGCACAGAGGCUCCUAAGGGGCUCAGCAGCAGCUUUCUCUUUCCCAGCGACAUCCCUUUAUCACCGGAGCUCGCUCCCUUCUCAAGGGCUUUUCGCCUCCUAAUGCUGCAAAACCACUUUGUGCCCUUAACUCUGAAGAUGGAAAGUUGGAAUCAGAUCUUGUGAAGCUUUGGCAGGGGGUCUGCAGAAAAAAAAAAGUGCUUUUAAAACCACCCUUUUCCCUCCGUCUGAUGUCUCAGCUUCACCACUUCAUCCAGUCUCUACUUACAGGGCACAGGAGGCUGGAUUGCCACUCUGGGAAACCAAUAGCCAUGCAGAUAUGGAAGAUGCUAAUUGUUGUGCUGCACUUGUGGAGUUAAAUGCUCUGGCUGUGCUUUAUGCCGUUGUGGUGCUCCACAGCAGAUCUCUCACGGUUGGUUCCUUCAAACAGGAGCUGGUUUAUCUCCAUGCUGACUGCACCUACCCCGACAGCCCUGCCGAAGCUCCUCAGGCUCAAGGUUGUCCCUACGUUCUUUUGGAUGCAAUAUCAAAUAGCGCUUCUUUCUAUGAACUUCAACGCCCACAAGGUCUUUUUGAAGCAACCCACUUGGAAGCACCAGGAGAGAGCAAAGUCGAUGCAAAGGGCAGGCGGAGGCUGCUGGGUGGGAGCAGGACUGGCAGCACCUGCUGCUACCGCUGGAGGUGAGCAACCACGGACACCUUACCACCCUUCUCCUUAAUUCUGCCCCUCCCGCCCUUGUCCUGCUUCUCCCACCUGCCUGGAGGGUGGGCAGGCUCCUCACAAGGUGCCGCUUUGCAAAGAGGACCAGAAAUUGCAGCUCCUACCUGAGCUUGUCUUUUUUUGAUGCAGAGCAAAGUAAAUAAUGCAUCAUUGUUGAGAGCACGGACAGGAGGAAGAGGAGCAUCUGCCUGCCCUGAUGCUCUGGAGACCAGGCUGACGCACCACCCCCUGCAGAAGAAACCAGCUCCUCCGCCUGUCCCUGCUCAAGAUGGAGCAGCUGAAGUUCAGCCUGGAGAAGAGGAGACUGAGGGGACCUCAUCACAGUUUGCUGCUUCCUCACAAGUGGAGGAGGAGGAGCAGGCGCUGAGCUCUCUGUGAAAGGUUAAUAGCUACGUCUGCCCAGCACUCAUCAGAAUCUACCUAACCUCCAGAUCAAAGACGAGGAAGCCAGCGGAUGAGCCCAAAGGUGAAUCUGCCAGAGGAUAAAAGCCUCUUGUGAGCUGCUUCAGGGAAGUCUUGAGUAACUCGUUCAAUGUCAAGGCCUCCAAGGCCACUGAAAGAGUCCCACACAAACAGCCCGAAGGGUUUUUCUCUCUACAUUAACACACUAAGGUCACUGCAUCUGGUUUCCCAAGAGCUCUCUAGCAAUCAACCUCCUCAAUGCAGAGAAUCACUUGUCCUCUACAGAUUAGCUGUCUCACCUGCAAUCAGAUCCCAUCUCAUGUUCCAGCUGCCCAGACUGUGCCUUUUCCUGGUUCCUCAUCAGUUACCUUCACCUUAAUGAACUCGCCCUGCUCUUGACAAACACAUCCCAUUCCCAGCCCCUUCCUGCCUGAGCAGCCUCAAAGAAACAAACCCUUUUGUUCUCACCCUUCCUUAUUCCUUUGCUCCGUCAUGUCAGAAGUUUGAAGUUGCUCUGUCAGAUGUGAUGAAUAAAUUUGAUUUCUAGCCUAAAUCCCCACCUCUUUUCUGUUUGUAUCACACGCUCCUGUCCCUGCAGCCUUCUCAUGCUUGCUGUCAUGCUUUCUCAUCCUCCGAUGAGAAACUGAUGUUCUCCAGGCACCAUUGUCCAGGGGCACCCACCAUGCUUAUCUCCCUGCAAACUGAUGUAGCUCACUGCAUCCCUGCUGCCCACAGUCACGAUGCACAGCUCACGUAUCCUCCUCACAGUUGUAGUUCUUGGAGGACAGCCUAGAAAAGCUUUGUUCUGACUUUUUUGGUUUUUAACAGAGCAUAAUAGUUGCUAUCGAAUUUCUCCCCUGCAAGCAUGCUGACACACCAGGAAAGCAGCGCCCGUACACCGGUUUCACUUUACUGCACAAUAUUGAGCCACUGAAAGCAUUGAUGACCAUGGAGUCUGUUGGUAGAGAAGACUUCACGAUCAGUUCAGCUACAAACACCUACUGCAUCGCUCACACCACUCUCUGUUCCUCCAAUUCAAUCCAACACUUAGCUCCUGCCUACGUCCAAUGGCACAACCACACAGGGCAAGUGGCGUAACACCAAGUUGUCAAAGCCUCCCUGCUUCUCCACCUCCUGCUUCUCCACACCUCAGUUCUCCUGCCAUUAUCCCAGACUCUAACGAGCAGGG